rnacentral:rRNA from 1 species
UAUUUGCUAAAGAUUCAUCGCUGAUAGAUAGGCAUGCGUUCCAUUAGGCAGUUGGCGGGGUAACGGCCCACCAAACCGACGAUGGAUAGGGGUUCUGAGAGGAAGGUCCCCCACAUUGGUACUGAGACACGGACCAAACUCCUACGGGAGGCAGCAGUGAGGAAUAUUGGUCAAUGGCCGAGAGGCUGAACCAGCCAAGUCGCGUGAGGGAUGAAGGUUCUAUGGAUCGUAAACCUCUUUUAUAAGGGAAUAAAGUGCGGGACGUGUCCCGUUUUGUAUGUACCUUAUGAAUAAGGAUCGGCUAACUCCGUGCCAGCAGCCGCGGUAAUACGGAGGAUCCGAGCGUUAUCCGGAUUUAUUGGGUUUAAAGGGUGCGUAGGCGGCCUUUUAAGUCAGCGGUGAAAGUCUGUGGCUCAACCAUAGAAUUGCCGUUGAAACUGGGGGGCUUGAGUAUGUUUGAGGCAGGCGGAAUGCGUGGUGUAGCGGUGAAAUGCAUAGAUAUCACGCAGAACCCCGAUUGCGAAGGCAGCCUGCCAAGCCAUGACUGACGCUGAUGCACGAAAGCGUGGGGAUCAAACAGGAUUAGAUACCCUGGUAGUCCACGCAGUAAACGAUGAUCACUAGCUGUUUGCGAUACACUGUAAGCGGCACAGCGAAAGCGUUAAGUGAUCCACCUGGGGAGUACGCCGGCAACGGUGAAACUCAAAGGAAUUGACGGGGGCCCGCACAAGCGGAGGAACAUGUGGUUUAAUUCGAUGAUACGCGAGGAACCUUACCCGGGUUUGAACGCAUUCGGACCGAGGUGGAAACACCUUUUCUAGCAAUAGCCGUUUGCGAGGUGCUGCAUGGUUGUCGUCAGCUCGUGCCGUGAGGUGUCGGCUUAAGUGCCAUAACGAGCGCAACCCUUGCCACUAGUUACUAACAGGUGAUGCUGAGGACUCUGGUGGGACUGCCAGCGUAAGCUGCGAGGAAGGCGGGGAUGACGUCAAAUCAGCACGGCCCUUACAUCCGGGGCGACACACGUGUUACAAUGGCGUGGACAAAGGGAGGCCACCUGGCGACAGGGAGCGAAUCCCCAAACCACGUCUCAGUUCGGAUCGGAGUCUGCAACCCGACUCCGUGAAGCUGGAUUCGCUAGUAAUCGCGCAUCAGCCAUGGCGCGGUGAAUACGUUCCCGGGCCUUGUACACACCGCCCGUCAAGCCAUGGGAGCCGGGGGUACCUGAAGUCCGUAACCGCGAGGAUCGGCCUAGGGUAAAACUGGUGACUGGGGCUAAGUCGUAACAAGGUAGCCGUACCGGAAGGUGCGGCUG